rnacentral:rRNA from 1 species
UCGGGAAUUUUGGGCAAUGGGCGAAAGCCUGACCCAGCAACGCCGCGUGAAGGAUGAAGUAUUUCGGUAUGUAAACUUCGAAAGAAUAGGAAGAAUAAAUGACGGUACUAUUUAUAAGGUCCGGCUAACUACGUGCCAGCAGCCGCGGUAAUACGUAGGGACCAAGCGUUGUUCGGAUUUACUGGGCGUAAAGGGCGCGUAGGCGGUCGAGUAAGUCGGAUGUGAAAUCCCCGGGNUUAACCUGGGAAUUGCAUUCGAUACUGCUUGGCUAGAGUGUGGAAGAGGGAAGCGGAAUUUCCGGUGUAGCGGUGAAAUGCGUAGAUAUCGGAAGGAACACCAGUGGCGAAGGCGGCUUCCUGGUCCAACACUGACGCUGAGGCGCGAAAGCGUGGGGAGCAAACAGGAUUAGAUACCCAAGUAGUCCCUGAGCGGGCUGGCAAGGCGCAU